rnacentral:rRNA from 1 species
AGAACGAACGCUGGCGGCAGGCUUAACACAUGCAAGUCGAACGCUCGUAGCAAUACGGGAGUGGCAGACGGGUGAGUAACGCGUGGGAACAUACCCUCCGGUUCGGAAUAGCUCAGGGAAACUUGGAUUAAUACCGGAUACGGCUGAGAGGCGAAAGAUUUAUCGCCGGAGGAUUGGCCCGCGUUCGAUUAGCUUGUUGGUGAGGUAACGGCUCACCAAGGCGAUGAUCGAUAGCUGGUCUGAGAGGAUGAUCAGCCACAUUGGGACUGAGACACGGCCCAAACUCCUACGGGAGGCAGCAGUGGGGAAUAUUGGACAAUGGGCGCAAGCCUGAUCCAGCCAUGCCGCGUGAGUGAUGACGGCCUUAUGGUUGUAAAGCUCUUUCGCUCGGGACGAUAAUGACGGUACCGAGAUAAGAAGCCCGGCUAACUUCGCGCCAGCAGCCGC